rnacentral:tRNA from 1 species
UCCGACUAGUUCCGGGUUCGAAUCCCGGGCAACCCAUAUGGA